GGGUGUCAGGAGUGGCGCUGUCCUGCAUCCGGCACCGUAGCGGGGUGGCUGCGAGGGGCGAGCGGACGCGCUGGUGCACCCUUCUGCACACUAGCUUCUUCGGGGCUCUGUUCCCUAAGUUGUCCGUCUGUUUGGCUAGGUGUAGUUGGCACAGAAAAGACUUCCUGGGCAUCUGUUCCCAGGAACUGGGCUGGCCCCUCCCAGGAGGAAAUUGGUAAAGAAAGGAAUGAGUGGGCCAUGGAAAGAAAAGGCGGGCAAGAUGGACCUGGAGCCCAGCAACAAGGAAGAAAACAGGCGACCUCCCAGAGCCUGGAGGGAUGCCAGACCCUUAGCAAGGACCCAGCAAACAUUUGAUGAAGAAAGGAUGGG
rnacentral:lncRNA from 1 species